UGUGGGAUCUUCCCGGACCGGGGCACGAACCCGUGUCCCCUGCAUCGGCAGGCGGACUCUCAACCACUGUGCCACCAGGGAAGCCCUGAUCUUCCACUCUUGAAGACAGAAAUGAAGUCACAUGGACAAGCAAAGGUCCUGGAUUUUUACUCCAUCUAGCCAGUGGAUGGGAAAAGAGAAGACAGAGGACUGCACUAGAGUUUUUAUGGACCAGGUUGGAAGUAGCCUCCAUGAGUUCUGCCCUCAUCUCUGUGGCCUGACUCAGUCACAUGAUCUCACCUAACUGCAAGGGAGGCUGGGAAAUGUAGUCAAGCUGUGUGCCCAGGAGUAAGAGCAGGGGUGGAGGGUCUUGGAGCUGUCUCUACCAUACACGAUUGAAGGAUCUGCCAAACUUGAGCAUGAAAAUAUCCAGACAUCCAGAGACGUCGACUCUUUGGAGCGUCUCAAUGGCACUGGAUUCCUCUACAGAUGCAAUGCCAAGUGUUCUUUAGGGGAAGCUAGCUGCCAUGUUGGGAACAGUCCUAAGGAGAUGCCCUCAUGGUGAGUUUCUGGUCAACAGUCAGUGAGGAGCUGAAGAUUGUCAACUAGUGAGCUUGGCAGUCGAUCCUCUGGCUGCAUUUGAGUCUUCAGAAGGCUGCAGCUGUGACGGACGAUUCUACUGCAACCUCCUGGGAGGCCCUGAGCUAGAACCAUCCAGCUCAGCCAUUCCCAGAAACCGUGAUAUGAUAAAUGCUGUUUUAUGUUGCUAAGAUUUGGAGUAAUUUGUUUCUCGGCAAUAGAAAAAUGAAUUCACUAUCAAAAGUGGGAGAACACGUGGAUCAAAAGUGCCACGUAGUUAAAAAAAAUUAAGAAAAAGCAUAUGUGUCUGUGGAAGUAAAGAAUAUUUAUAUCGUAAUGAGACCUGCCACUGUAAGAACUAUGACUGAUACACGGGAAAAAGAGAGGUGAUGACAACUGAAUGAACCAGGCCUGUCUUGCUUCUUCAUACCAUCCGCCUGGCCCCUUCUAGGUCUCUGAGUCUUCCAAGCUUGCUAUAAAGCAGUGCUUUUCAAACUGGUUUUGACCUUGAUGACUGCCCUCCCAUCUCCCAAGAAGUACAUUUCACACGGUGACCCAGGACUCACACGAGCACAUACAAAUGAAACAAAUGUUUCACCAGAACUGAUACUCUUACUGUGAGUGACGCCCUCUUUCUCUGUUCUAUUCCUUUUCGUUUAAAAAAUCUUUUUGUUUUGAAAUAAUUAUAGACUCACAGAAAGUUGCAAGGACAGUACACUGAAGUCCUCUGUGUACUCGAGAUAGCAACAUCUUACACAACUGUAAACUUGUAUCAAACCCAGCAAACUGACAUUGGUGCAAUUUAUAGACCUUUUCCAGAUUUCACCAAUUAUAUGCACUCUUCCCUGUGUGUAUGUGUGUGGGUGUGUGUAGUUCUAUGCAAUUUUAUCACGUGUAUAGGUUUGUACAACCACCCCAGUCCAGAUACAGACCUAUUCUAACACUGUAAAGGGAAUCUCUGGUGCUACUUACUCUUAUAAUCUCAUCUACCAGCACACCACCCCCACCUAUAACCCCUGGCAACCACUGAUCUGUUCUCCAUCUGCAAAAUUUUGUCUUUUGAGGUUGGCUUUUUCCACUCAUCGUGAUGACCCUGAGCUCCACGCAAGUUGUUGAAUGUACCAGUGGUUCGUUCAUUUUUAUGUCUUGAGUGGUAUUGCCUGGUAUGAAUGUAUCACCUAUUGAAGGUCAUUUUGACUGUUUCCUGUUUUUAGCUAUUAAAAA